UUCCUGUUUGCUGAAGGUCGCUGACGGGCACGGAGGAUCCGGACGCGACUUAUUUGGGCCCGCGAGCUCUGAAGUUUUGGGAAGCGCGGAGCUUGACGGCGAUUAUCUGGCUUGCUGCACUCCCCCCUCUUCAUCGUAUCUCCGCUUUGUCUCCGGAACACUCACGCCCUCUUUGAACCGUCGCCCAAACUCGCCCGUGCUCCCCACCCUCCACAGAUGUGUUCUGUAGAGGAUGGCUUUCCUGUUUCUGAUCAGGAGCAGAGUGUCACCUUGCCAUUGCCGGGAGCUUUUCUUGACUUCCUAAACAACAAUGGGUUGGAUCCAUCAAUAUAUGCUGUAGCAGAUACCAUUCCACGCUAUGUAAGGCUAAAACCAGGCUGUGAAUCUCAACUUGUGGAUAUUGAAGCUGAACUCAGUUGUAAACUUGAGGAGGUUGUUUGGCUACCAGGUUUCUUUUCCAUCCUACCUCAUAUUCAAAUUGCUGGUUCAAAGGCAUAUCAGGAAGGAAUGAUAUAUGGAAUGGAUGCAUCUUCAGGGGCUGCUGUUUCAGCUUUAGAUGUCUCACCAGGAGACCAUGUUCUUGAUUUAUGUGCUGCUCCAGGUGCUAAGCUCUGCAUGCUCUCAGAUCUACUUGGGAACUCUGGAUCUCUGACUGGUGUUGAUAUUGCAAGACAUCGCCUAGCAGCUUGUCGUACAAUGCUACAGAAAUAUGCUCUUGGAGAUUGUUGUCGGCUUUUUGUUGCUGAUGGAACAACAUUUUCUCUCCUACCUUUGAGGUCUUGUGCAGCUUAUGGCACAGAUAAUAAAGAUAUAUUCACAGAGUGGACUUCAAAGAGAUCAUGGAGAGAUCGAAAGAAGGCAUUUAAAGCAAGAAAUGCUAAUAGUUCACAUCAGAUUCCAUCGACUUUAGAACCAGAAUUGAUAUAUUAUGGCAGACAUUCUGGAGUUGUUGGGUUAUGUAAAAGCGAGUUAUUUCAUCCGCUAAACAACAAUGAGCCUUCAGUUUCAGGUUAUGAUAAGUUACAGCUUCUGACCAAUGGUUUCAGAUUGCUAAGAGUUGGUGGAUCGCUUGUGUAUAGUACUUGCAGUUUAACAGUUGCCCAAAAUGAAGAUGUGGUGGAGCAGUUUCUUGCAAGAAAUUCUUCAGCUGAAUUACAGGAGGUUGAUCUUGCAGAUAAGUGGCCUUGUAAAAGUGGGAGAAUUCCUAAAACCAUACGCUUCGAUCCAACAACCUCCAAAACUAGUGGGCUUUUUAUUGCAAAGUUCACUAAAUUAGCAACUUAGUCGUGAUUUGCUACAUAUCCAGCUACUGUACUAUUGGAUAUAUAUGGUUAUAUUUGUCUCUAUGUGGUAGGCGGCAGAUUAUUAGUCAUGCUGCACCAUUCCAUGUUUAGUUGAAUCUAUCAAAAUAAUUAAUACUGAUUUGGACACAAAUUUGUGAUUGUGCAUGAAGCUUGAUAGAGAAUAUCUUAAUAUUAUUGUCGUAUUCAUCAAA